GAUAUUGAGACACUGCUUUGCCUUCAGCUGUUUAUUCCUGUUACACCUAGUGAAACGAUUUAUUUAGUACAGAACUUCAUCAAAGCAUGACAUCUCCAUCUAAUAUUUCCAUCUUGAAAGCAGCAAGUUUAUUUCAUGCAUCUUCUGCUCAACUCUGACAACAUAUAUCUCUUCACAAAUCACUACAUUUGAAAAGGACAACCAUGGAUAUUUGCUGAGCUCAUCCUCCAUUGAUCAGGAAAUCAUGUGGUUCAUACAGCUGCAUAACUCCCCAUACCCUCUUUUGAGUCUAUGCAGAGUAGAAAGAAGAUUUUUAAACUUACUUCACCAACUACCACUGUGAGUUCAUAUGGUCCCAACUUUCUGCGUUUAACGUAUUUCUGCUUCUUUUGCUACUUUAUUAUAGGAAAAAAAAAUGGCACUGCUUGAGAUGAAAGACAAAUAUCCUUUUUAUAUGUUUCAAUCAACAGUAAAAAGAGUCAAAAUCAUGUAGCAUUCAUUUCCACAUGAGAGAGAAUCUGCUUUCUGUUGCCUUUG